rnacentral:rRNA from 1 species
GACGAACGCUGGCGGCGUGCUUAACACAUGCAAGUCGAACGGAAAGGCCCUGCUUUUGUGGGGUGCUCGAGUGGCGAACGGGUGAGUAACACGUGAGUAACCUGCCCUUGACUUUGGGAUAACUUCAGGAAACUGGGGCUAAUACCGGAUAGGAGCUCCUGCUGCAUGGUGGGGGUUGGAAAGUUUCGGCGGUUGGGGAUGGACUCGCGGCUUAUCAGCUUGUUGGUGGGGUAGUGGCUUACCAAGGCUUCGACGGGUAGCCGGCCUGAGAGGGUGACCGGCCACAUUGGGACUGAGGUACGGCGCAGACUCCUACGGGAGGCAGCAGUGGGGAAUAUUGCGCAAUGGGCGGAAGCCUGAUGCAGCAACGCCGCGUGCGGGAUGACGGCCUUCGGGUUGUAAACCGCUUUCGCCUGUGACGAAGCGUGAGUGACGGUAAUGGGUAAAGAAGCACCGGCUAACUACGUG